GCGGGUGUGGUGAAGUGGUUAACACACCAGAUUGUGGCUCUGGCAUGCGNGUUCAAUUCCUACUGCCCGUG
rnacentral:tRNA from 1 species